GCGGUGUUGGGAAGGUGGAGCGCGGCAGGAAAGACGGGAAGGAGCCAGAGGUGGGCUGGGGUCCGGGGUCCCGAAAGAGGAUCGCGGUAGGGAAGAAGAGGAGGAGCCAGAGGAGAGGGUCGGGGGCUGCACACGAGAUAUAAAAAAUCAGAGUCAGAGAAAUCAUCAGUUUGAAGUCAGAGGCGGGAAACUGUCAGAUGCCUACUUGGUUUUCUUAAAUUAACAACUUGCCUCAGCUUCCUGGCAGCCAAAGAGAAAUGGGAGACAGUAGCUAUCAAAUAAUUCUCCUUAUAAGAGAAGCAGAACUUUUGUUAAUCACUAAAUUAGUUAAUAAACUAAAUUUUGUCUAUCAAUGAA